GCUCAAAUCAACAGCUCAGUCAGUAAAGCAUGAGACUCUUAAACACAGGGUUGUGGGUUCCAGCCCCACAUUGGACA